UACUGGUGAUGAGGACAUUGAGCAAGUAGCAACUUAAAUCGUUCCCAAACUUCGUAAAUGGGCUCUCCCUCCAUUUGAGUAAAGGAACAAAUUUUGUUCCUUAGAUC